UUAUUUGAAACAGGAUACAACCUCCACCACCGGGUAAACAAGGGUAGUUAAAACUAAGUGGGCCUAAAAGCAGCCACCUUCCAAAAAGCGUCAAAGCUUAUCUACUCCAACCCACAAUUUCUAAAAUACUCCCUAACCCUUCAUUCCUACUGACCCCUUUUAUAUUAUUAUAAAAAUAAUUAUGCUAGAACUAGUAACAAGAAGUUGCCCUUCUCCAUAAUGUAAGUAUAAACCAAAACGGACCUUCCAUUGGUAAUUAACGUAAAUGUAAACCCCAUAAUAACAUAACCAGAAAACCUUAUGGCCCCACACGUUACUCUAACACUAGAACAUUACAGGAAAGAUUAAAAGAGAAAGAAGGAACUCGGCAAAUUUUAACCCCGCCUGUUUACCAAAAACAUCGCCUCUUGAUCAAACAUAAGAGGUCCAGCCUGCCCAGUGACAAAAUUCAACGGCCGCGGUACACUAACCGUGCGAAGGUAGCAUAAUCAUUUGUUCUUUAAAUAAGGACUAGUAUCAACGGCAUCACGAGGGUUAUACUGUCUCCUAUCUCUAAUCAGUGAAACUGAUCCCCCCGUGAAGAAGCGGGGAUUUAGCU
rnacentral:rRNA from 1 species